rnacentral:rRNA from 1 species
UACGAAGGGGGCGAGCGUUGUUCGGAAUUACUGGGCGUAAAGGGCGCGUAGGCGGCUUGGUAAGUCAGAUGUGAAAGCCCGGGGCUUAACCCCGGAAGUGCAUUUGAAACUGCUAGGCUUGAGUACAGUAGAGGUUGGUGGAAUUCCCAGUGUAGAGGUGAAAUUCGUAGAUAUCGGGAGGAACACCUGUGGCGAAAGCGGCGCACUGGACCAUAACUGACGCUGAUGCGCGAAAGCUAGGGGAGCAAACAGG